GACGAACGCUGGCGGCGUGCUUAACACAUGCAAGUCGAACGGAAAGGCCCUGCUUUUGUGGGGUGCUCGAGUGGCGAACGGGUGAGUAACACGUGAGUAACCUGCCCUUGACUUUGGGAUAACUUCAGGAAACUGGGGCUAAUACCGGAUAGGAGCUCCUGCUGCAUGGGGGGGGUUGGAAAGUUUCGGCGGUUGGGGAUGGACUCGCGGCUUAUCAGCUUGUUGGUGGGGUAGUGGCUUACCAAGGCUUUGACGGGUAGCCGGCCUGAGAGGGUGGCCGGCCACAUUGGGACUGAGAUACGGCCCAGACUCCUACGGGAGGCAGCAGUGGGGAAUAUUGCACAAUGGGCGGAAGCCUGAUGCAGCAACGCCGCGUGCGGGAUGACGGCCUUCGGGUUGUAAACCGCUUUCGCCUGUGACGAAGCGUGAGUGACGGUAAUGGGUAAAGAAGCACCGGCUAACUACGUG
rnacentral:rRNA from 1 species